GACCCAGUGGCGGAUGGUCCGCGUCCGCGCCGUGUAAUGCUCUAAAUUUUGCGAUAAAGCGGCCGCUCCUGGUUCGAAUCCAGGCUGGGUCA